rnacentral:rRNA from 1 species
GACGAACGCUGGCGGCGUGCUUAACACAUGCAAGUCGAACGGAAAGGCCCUGCUUUUGUGGGGUGCUCGAGUGGCGAACGGGUGAGUAACACGUGAGUAACCUGCCCUUGACUUUGUGAUAACUUCAGGAAACUGGGGCUCAUACCGGAUAUGAGCUCCUGCUGCAUGUUGUGGGUUGGAAAGUUUCGGCGGUUGGGGAUGGACUCGCGGCUUAUCAGCUUGUUGGUGGGGUAGUGGCUUACCAAGGCUUUGACGGGUAGCCGGCCUGAGAGGGUGACCGGCCACAUUGGGACUGAGAUACGGCCCAGACUCCUACGGGAGGCAGCAGUGGGGAAUAUUGCACAAUGGGCGGAAGCCUGAUGCAGCAACGCCGCGUGCGGGAUGACGGCCUUCGGGUUGUAAACCGCUUUCGCCUGUGACGAAGCGUGAGUGACGGUAAUGGGUAAAGAAGCACCGGCUAACUACGUG